AAAGGGAGACCUAAUUCAGGUAAAAGACGAAAAAAAAGUAGUCGCUACCAAGAAUCAAUCCCAAAAGGUCGGAGCGAGGCGAAAUUGGCUUUCAAACUAGGUUCUGGGUUCAAACAAGACCUGAAUCAGGAACAAGGGCUAUUAGCUCAGGUGGUUAGAGCGCACCCCUGAUAAGGGUGAGGUCCCUGGUUCGAGUCCAGGAUGGCCCACCUGCACAGGUGGCAAAAACAAGAGAAGCGAGGAAUCAGCACCUUAUCUUAUCUAUAUAUAAAUACAAGUAAGAGAGAAUGCUGGCUCUGAGUAAAGAGUCCAGAGGAACCUUGAAAACUGCAUAGAGCUAGGUGAAAAAGCCAAAAAAGAAGACCGCAAG
rnacentral:tRNA from 1 species